GGGGUGUUCUCUCCUGAAUUUCUUAUCUAUUUGGGCAGUCAAGAUACGAUUCGGUGUUGGUGAUUUUUUUUAUUGCAAAAUGCAAUGCUGUCCUCCGAUACAAUCUUCACGUAAUAGCAUGUGUGUUGCUUCAUGGGAUUAUAUUCUAUUAUCUGAAUUAAAUCUUAUUUAAUGUUUGCAUUCCCCUGGGUAAUGUAGAUGGAGGACAGGGAGCUUAUAGACGGAAAAAACUUGUACUCAUCAGUGCUGCUACAUACCUAGCUGCUUGUAUGGUGGUUUUGUUUGUGUCGGUCCAGACUGAGAAAAGAAAGACAACGUAUUACCUAUGCUCCAACGGAGGAUAGAGAUAAGAAAAGGAUUGACUACCUAAACACAAGAAAUUAUAAGGAUGACACAACCUGCACCAAAAUGAUAAGACUUAAGAGAGGUCUUUUCUUUGAGUUGUUACUACUCUUUUGAUGUAUGAUAACAAUGUGUGGUAGCUAUUAUAAAGGAGUUCCAUAUGUAUGCAACACUAUGGAUAGUGUCUGAUUGUAAUAUGGACCUCUUAAUAUAAUAUAUAUUAAUGGUGACUUGCUGUGGCUAAUUUUAUUCAACAUUUAUUACAUACUUGUUUAGCAAAUUAUUGUAAAAAAAGUACAUAAGUGGGACAAAUCAAAAUUUUUUAGAGGGAUCGUACAUGUAACCAAACAACAUACAUGUACCAACUCAUACCAUCCCAUUCAGCUAACCAAACAAAAAUCAUGUAUGGUCAUGUACAACCAACCAAAUAUUAACAUGUACCAUGCCAUCCAGGAUUAUCCCAUUCAUCCAGGAUGACCUAUCCCAUUCAACCUCGUCUAACCAACCAAACGCUACCUAAGAAGCUAACAAGGAGUGCAGGACAUACCCGAUUGCUUUAGUUUUCAUAUCAUGCAUUGCUUCCACUUAGCACUCUGCAAGUAACGCAAAUUGGCACAUGGUUCAGUUUACACAUACACAAGCAUUAGAAAUUCAUAUGUUAAAUCAUAUAUAUCUAUACCAACUUUACAUGCAUUCAAGUCAGACAUGAUCAGAAAUUUUUUUUACCCGAAAUACAAUGGAAGUCAGGGCACAACGAAACUAGCAUUAGAAUUGAAGUGAUACUGUGCUUAGCAAAUCAGCAGUAAAAUAUUCAAUAGGUUCAGUCAAUUUCAGUAUAUGCACACAAAAUUAAUUUUAGGCAAAAUUGCGUAGCAAAAAUUUAGGCAACUUCCUCAGCCUACUGAUCAGUCAACACAGUUGCACAAACCAAUCUCAACUCACUAAUUUCAGAUUUUUCACGAAGAAUCGAAAACACAUGCCUAACUACUUAGUUGGGUGAUCGCCAAAACAUUGCACAGGCAAGUUGGUUCCUCACUAGCAAUCAAUGAAAGCGGUUGAGUGGUAAGGAGGGGUGAACCUGAUGCAUGGCCUACUUGCAGCUCGAACCUAAACUAUACACUCUGCACUACUUAGGCACAUUCAGAUCUACUGCAUGUAUAAAUAGAUCACAUUCAGAUCAACAAGACAGAUCAAAGAAACAUAAGGUUCUAAAAGCCAUACAAACUAAAUAGGCAAACCAGGUUGUAAAUAGGAAAUAAUAGUUGUGAUACAAAAGGAACAUUUGGCACUCAAAUUUCUUAUUCUAAACUUAUCUCUGACUGAACAAAACUUAACUGAACUUCUCUAGCAAUAGUGAUCACUGAUCAGUGGAUGUGACACUGAGCAAGUCAAAAAUUAUAAACAAAAUGGCCACUAAUUCAGUGCAAGCAAACCGAGUUUGCAGCGAUUCAUAGUACUAGUAACUUCAACACCAGACACAAGUUUGCUAAAAGAGUCAAAGGAACCCAGUCCAGCAUAUACGAAAUCCAGGAAUAUAACCCAUCUUAAAUAUUUUGUAACCAACUACUCAAAAUCAGUAUUCAGCCCACUAUAGUUCUUACUUCUUUGCAACUGCCAUAGUAAUUUCAAAGUGGAUGCAUAUCAUAAGAAAAAGAAAAGAUAUACUAGUAACAGGGCAUUUGUAAAAUAAAUUGGAACAGCUAAUAUACCAUUACCCACAAGAACUUAUAACUUCAGAUAAUUAGUUAUACAGGUAGAAGAGAGAUUCACAUGAAUCCAACCAGGAAUCAGAGAACAUUUCCCAAAUAUGAUAAUUAGCAACACUGCCACUUGUCAAAUGCAUGUCCAAGGCCACACCAAAACAAUCAUCAUUGAUUUGUGAGGGAAAACAACUAUAUAUACAAAUCAUCCGCAUGCACACGAGAGGAUCUAAAAAUGUAUGAAUCAGAUCAGACUAAUCGAGAGCUAGGAAACUUAAUAUAGCACAACAAUUGGUAGUCAAAAUCAGUAACAUGGACUGACGUAAAAAAAUCGCAUGAAUUAAAUGUGCACCUCACUAAACCACCGACACAAAUUAAAGGAUAUUCAGAUCCGUCAAGGAGUGGUCUCACCUGUCUGAAAUCUUGCACGGGCUGAAAUAUUCUUCCCCAAGACCUACAAGAAACGGUGCGAGCCUGUGAGGAGAGGAGAGGAGAAGCGAAACCCUAGAACGGCAGGGAGAUGCUGGCAGGGGUCUACUGACCUGCUGCGGAGGCGCAGCGGAGGCAGUGCGCGGCAAGCGACGCACGGCAGGUCGGCAGCAACAGCAGCGGCGUAGGAGAGCGCGGUGGGGACGACGCGGUGGGGACAACUAGGGGAGUCGAUC
rnacentral:lncRNA from 1 species